rnacentral:rRNA from 1 species
AUUGAACGCUGGCGGCAUGCCUUACACAUGCAAGUCGAACGGCAGCACGGGAGCAAUCCUGGUGGCGAGUGGCGAACGGGUGAGUAAUAUAUCGGAACGUGCCAGUCGUGGGGGAUAACGCAGCGAAAGCUGUGCUAAUACCGCAUACGAUCUAAGGAUGAAAGCGGGGGAUCGCAAGACCUCGCGCGAUUGGAGCGGCCGAUAUCAGAUUAGCUAGUUGGUGGGGUAAAGGCCCACCAAGGCGACGAUCUGUAGCUGGUCUGAGAGGACGACCAGCCACACUGGAACUGAGACACGGUCCGGACUCCUACGGGAGGCAGCAGUGGGGAAUUUUGGACAAUGGGCGCAAGCCUGAUUCAGCAAUGCCGCGUGCAGGAUGAAGGCCUUCGGGUUGUAAACUGCUUUUGUACGGAACGAAACGGCCCUUUCUAAUACAGGGGGCUAAUGACGGUACCGUAAGAAUAAGCACCGGCUAACUACGUGCCAGCAGCCGCAGUAA